rnacentral:rRNA from 1 species
UACAGAGGGUGCGAGCGUUGUCCGGAAUCACUGGGCGUAAAGGGCGCGUAGGUGGCGCAACAAGUCAGUGGUGAAAGCUCGACGCUCAACGUCGAGUCGGCCACUGAGACUGUUGGGCUUGAGCACUGUAGAGGCUAAUGGAAUUCCGGGUGUAGCGGUGGAAUGCGUAGAGAUCCGGAAGAACACCGGUGGCGAAGGCGGCCUGCUGGGCAGUAGCUGACACUGAGGCGCGACAGCGUGGGGAGCAAACAGG